GGUACAUUAUUGUAUAGUAGUCACUGCGGUGUGUCGAUUGGCGCGGCCUGAAUGGAUGCUAAAGUUCAGUAUCUACAGAGCUAUAAGACCGUAGCACGGAAACGUCGGAAAUUGACCGGAGACUUUGGGAAGAUGAAAUCGGGCAUACAAUAAAGCAUGCGGUUGUUCAUUGGAAAAAGAUCGCGAGGACGUUACGAAGAUCGUCCAAUUACGGUUUCCAAGCUUCUGAAAAAUCGAAAGAGAAUUUGGGAGCUUUCACCGUGCAAAACAAAGGAGGCACUGAAAUUAUGAUUACAACCGGAAAUUUAUUAACACGGUUGGGACAAUUGGGAAAAGGAGCUACAAUUAUUCGAGCCUUGCGGCUCGUUUUUACAAUCACCGAUUGUUGCAACAACUAUAA